rnacentral:lncRNA from 1 species
UGUCAUUGUUUUAUAGAUACCAUAGUGAGAAAGGAUUCAUUUCGCAGCACCUACGGCUUCCACUAGAUGUCAACGAUCUUUAUAAAGUUGUUUGAAGCGUCUAUGAUAAACAGAGAGCAAAUUAGAAUCCAAGGAAGUUGACAUGUCAUCACUUCAUUUUUUUGCGCCUGCGCAUAAAUCUGAGAAACGUGAGUUUGUCAUCAUUUUUUAUCUAGACAUAGGAUAGGUUGUGUGAAAAUAUUACUGAUGUUUAACGUUAAAAAUGGACCAAAAGAUUAAUGCUAAACAACAUUUGACAUGUUUGAACGAACAUAAAUGGAUUAUUUACUCGUUUUUUUUUGCUUUUCGGCGUGAUUUUACACUCCCCACACCACGUUUUGUGGGAGCAUAAUGAACGCUAAGUACUUGGUGUUAUUUGGACAUAAAUUAUGAACUUUGUCAAAAGAAACCACAUUUGUUCCGGACCUGGGAUGCCUUCCGGACCUGGGAUGCCUGCCUUCUGAUGGAGAUAAUCAAAGGUUGUUCGCCAGGGGAGCCAUCUGCUGCCUCUCAUCACCUGAUAGCGGAAUCGAAGGAGCACAGCAAGAGGAGCAUGGCAAUCAACGAUGGUCGCAUGUCACGAGCUGUGGAAGCCGAGGACAGCGGCCUCCCGCAAAGCAGUCUACACUCCCAACGAGACGCCCAGAGCGGAUACAAACAAUGAAUAGUUUCACCGCCCCCGAAGGAGCCUGAUCUUACUGCACCUCCGUUGCUGGGGGUACCUUUGUCUGCGGCGCUGUGCCUACUCCUUUCCCUACGAUUUCGAAGUUGACGUCGGCAACCUUCCGUCCUUGCUCUGGAUCGAGCGGGGCUUCUCCAUCUGUCGGAGGCCUGCACCAGGCUCAAGUUAUCCUGCCUUUCACCCAUCCUUAAAGGGUUCUCAGAACCCUGUUAAGCAUGGGAGUGGGCGGAUUUCCUCGUCCUUCUCGCCAGCCGUGAUUUUGGGCAGCUCCAUGCUAAGAAAUGUGACUGUUCCUAUCCUGGAGCUUGAGUAAAUGAUGUUACUAAGCUGCUCCCGAAUGUACAGUAGUUCUUCCUUUUAAAGGUUUUGAGCUUAUGAUGCGACCAUUAGUUUUAGGUGGUGGCAUUCUGUCAUUGCACCACACUAUCACAGUUGGGAGUUAGAACGCUAAUCUAUCAUUAGUCUAAACUGUGGCACAAGUUGACUAUCUUUUUGUAAAUUAAUGGAGGUGUUUUCAGUCUGAGAGUCUCUCUUCUCUGGCACUAGUCCUGCAUCAGGCAACAACAAAAAAACUGUCGGUGGUCCUGGACUUAAGAGAGAACUUAGGUAAAUACAAUGUGGAAAUCACACUUGAUAUGUGGACUGAUGAUUUUCGAAAAAUAGGUACGGUGGGCUUUUAGCUUCUCUCCCUCUAAAAACAGAAAUAAAUCAUUCUAAAUAACAAACUGGCUUUAUUUACCACAGCAUGAAAGAGUGAUAGCCCCUCUAUAUAAAGUGAGUUUCUGAAACACGGAGUCCUUCUUUGCUGAUGAAAAGAAGAAACAGAAUGAAAUAAAUAAGAACCAACACAAUUUCUGAUAGUCAUUAAUUGUCACGGGUAUCGUCGGUGAAGGAGGACCAAAAUGCAGCAGGACUGUGUUUGUUCAUUUUGAACAUUUAUUAAAUCAAAACGAAACAUAAAAACAACAAACAAGAGAACGAACGAUCCACUGACAGUCUGGCAAGGCACAAGGCUAAACACAGAACAAUUUCCCACAAACACACCCAACUAAUAUAGGACUUCCAAUCAAAGGCAACACCACACAGCUGCCUUCAAUUGGAAGUCCACCCCAAUUAACUCCACAUAGAAACACACUUACUAGACUACACAUAGAAAUACAUAAACAUAGACCAUAAACCAAAAACCCGGAAAUACUAAAUUAAACACCCUUUUACCAAAACACCACCCCGGACCACAUAAAACAAAUACCCUCUGCCACGUCCUGACCAAACUACAAUAACAAUUAACCCUUAUACUGGCCAGGACGUGACAUUAAUAAAGAAAUGUUUUGACCAAGUUCAUCUCCUCAUGUUGUCUGUGUUCAAUUACUUGUGACAUUGUGAUUACAAUGAAGAAUGUAAACAAAACAAAUCCUAUACAUAAUGAAUAAUCAGAUGCGUGUUAUGCGCUUUAUUUUUCCUUAUUCUUUUUUUGUACUAAUUUAUUUGAUAUUUUUUGACAAUACAAAACAUAUACAUACAAAUGACAACUACAUCACACCUGCCAAUACGCACCUGCUCACACCCCCCAUCUCAUUUUACAUUUUACAUUUUAGUCAUUUAGCAGACGCUCUUAUCCAGAGCGACUUACAAAUUGGUGCAUUCACCUAUAAUAUCCAGUGGAACAACCACUUUACAAUAGUGCAUCUAAAUCUUUUCCAGCGCCUUCAUCACUCUCCGCCUCAUGGCCUCAUACUGCACCAUUCUGUUUCUCUCCGCCGCCCAUAGACACUUUAAUCAUUUGGGUAAUAAAGCAUUUGAAGGCUAACAUUAGUCGAUUUUAAUACUUCUGACAGACAUAACUCCACCCAUAACUUUCGAACUUUUUAACAUUCCCAGGAGGCAUAGAUUAUUAUAACCUACUGCAGGCCUAAAACCUAUGAGUUUAACCUUCUGAAUGAAUGAUUAUAUUGAAGAUAGAAGCCACCUCUUAAUGAGUUCCGAGAGCCAAUCUGUUAUCCAACAAUUUAUUAUUAUUAUUAUUAUUAACCCUGCAUUAUAAUUCUAUAAAAGCCCCUUAAAUAUUCUCUGUAAGGUUUUACAUUUUUAACUCAAUAUCACAGACCAGAUUUUCCCUAACAAAAAAUUCCCCUUAUAUAUUAAUUUAGAAUCCUCCAAUCCUCUAAAUUGAAUUAGAUCUACAGGGAAAUGUUAUUGAUCUGCAAGUAUUUUCAUUUAGAAACCACCUCAAUGAGUUCCGAGAGCCGAUCUGUUAUCCAAUAUAUUAUCAAAUAAAUUAAGCUACAUUUCUAAAAAUCAAUCCCAUAUAUUCUGUUCUAUUCAAGGCAAACACAGCACUUACACAAAUGACUGAUGAUUGGCUGAGAGAAAUUGAUGAUAAAAAGAUUGUGGGGGCUCUUUUGUUAGACUUCAGUGCAGCUUUUCACAUUAUCGAUCAUGAUCUGCUGCUGGAAAAACUUAUCUGUUAUGGCUUUACAUCCCCUGCUAUAUUGUGGAUAAAGAGUUACCUGUUUAACAGAAUACAGAGGGUAUUCUUUAAUGGAAGCCUUUCCAACAUAAUCCAGGUAGAAUCAGGAAUUCCCCAGGGCAGCUGUCUAGGCCACUUACUUUUUUCAAUCUUUACUAGUUACAUGCCACUGGCUUUGAGUAAAGCCAUGUGUCUACAUAUGGGGUAGACUCAACAUUAUACCUGUCAGCUACUACAGUGACUGAAAUGACUGCAACACUUAACAAGGAGCUGCAGUUAGUUUCACAAUGGGUGGCAAGGAAUACGUUUGUUUUUUAAAUAUUUAGGACUAAGAGCUUUGUAUUUGGGACGAAUCAUUCACUAAACCCUAAACCUCAAUUAAAUCUUGUAAUAAAUAUGUGGAAAUUGAGCAAGUUGAGGUGACAAAACUGCUUGGAGUAACCUUGGAUUGUAAACUGUCAUGGUCAAAACAUAUUGAUACAACAGUAGCUAAGAUGGGGAGAAGUCUUUCUAUAAUAAAGUGCUGCUCUACCUUAACCGCACUAUCAACAAAACAGGUCUGACAGGCUCUAGUUUUGUCGCACCUGGAGUACUGAUCAGUCGUGUGGUCAGGUGCCACAAAGAAAAUUGCAAUUGGCUCAGAACAGGGCAGCAUGGCUGGCCCUUGGAUUUACACUGAGAGCAAACAUGAAUAAUAUGCAUGUCAAUCUCUCCUGGCUCAAAGUGGAGGAGGCAUUGACUUCAUCACUACUUGUAUUUGUAAGAGGAACUGACAUGUUGAAAUCACCGAACCGUCUGUUUAAACGACUUGUACACUGCUCAGACACCCAUGCAUACCCCACAAGACAUACCACCAGAUGUCUCUUCACAGUCCCCAAAUCCAGAACAGACUAUGAGAGGAGCACAGUACUUCAUAGAGCCAUGACUACAUGGAACUCUGUUCCACAUCAGGUAACUCAUGCAAGCAGUAAAAUUGUAUUUAAUAAAAGGUAAUACAAAUACACAUUAUGGAACAGCGGAGACUGUGAAGCAACACAAACAUAGGCACAGACACAUGCUGUCAUGUCCUGGCCAGUAUAAGGGUUAAUUGUUAUUGUAGUUUGGUCAGGACGUGGCAGAGGGUAUUUGGUUUAUGUGGUUCGGGG